AAAUUUUAUUUAUUUAAUACAAUAUAUAAUGUACAUUGUUUUUCCUUAUCAACGCAGUAGAAUUAUAUACAAUAACUUAUAGACUGUGCCAAAUAAAUCGAAGAUUUGUUUUUUUUCGGUCCCAUAUCAAAAUUUCGUUUA